UUAAAAAGCUCGUAGUUGAAUUUCGGGGUCAGUAGGUCGGUCGUGCCACUGGUAUGAACUGGUUUUACUGAUUCCUCCCUCUUGAAGAACUGUAAUGCCAUUAAUUUGGUGUUGCAGGGAGUCAGGACUGUUACUUUGAAAAAAUUAGAGUGUUUAAAGCAGGCUUUAGCUUGAAUACAUUAGCAUGGAAUAAUGAAAUAGGACGUUUGAUCCUAUUUUGUUGGUUUCUAGGAUUGACGUAAUGAUUAAUAGGGAUAGUUGGGGG
rnacentral:rRNA from 1 species